rnacentral:misc_RNA from 1 species
AUUGAAAUACAAGAUGGCGGCCGCUACAAAAUGGCGGAUAACGUAGGUUUUAUCAAUCCCAUCAACAUGGGUAUCAAAUGAAAGGGCUUGACAAGAAGAAUACAGUGCACUAUACGACCUCAAUAUUUAAGAUGGGCCUUGCAAUAAUGAAGCACUAAAUGAAUUAAACAGAAUGCGAAAUAAAAACUAAAAACUAGAAAAUAAAAAUAGGUAAAA